GGGUCGUAGUCAUUCACUAUGGUUAAAUCUUGGAACUCAUUCUCCAGGAAAUGACGCGGCCAUGCUUUUAGGUGGUCAGUUGUUGGAUAUUUGACAACACCAUUUUCCUGUAGCUGUAAUUCGUCCAUAGUGGCCCAUGCUUUUGCCAUAGGCCCAAGAUCAUUCCAUGAUAUUGUUUUCAACUUGGUCACAGGGACAUGUGGAAUGGCAGUGUCCCAAUGACGGUACAAAUGCUUGAGUUCCGGAGGUAGAUGAAUCAAGACCAUACUGUUGCCUUCAGAAUCACAGUAGAAG